rnacentral:tRNA from 1 species
GUUAGAGUGGCAGAGCCUGGUAAUUGCAUGAGGCCUAAGCCCUCACUCCCAGGGGUUCAAUUCCCCUCCCUAACC